GCGUUGGUGGUUCAGUGGUAGAAUUCUCGCCUGCCACGCGGGAGACCGGGGUUCGAUACCCCGCCAACGCA
rnacentral:tRNA from 1 species